rnacentral:lncRNA from 1 species
AUUGUUUCCCAGCCGCUGCUCGCUGGGACCCCGCCAGCCCUCGAGCGCGGCCAUUCGCCGCGUUCUGCCCUCUCCCCCCUUUCCUCACGCUGGUGGUGGCCCUUUCCUCAGUCCUGCUGAUGUCCUCCAGCUGAUUCCAGGCUGUUCCCGGCCACCCCUGAGGCCGUCCUUUCGCUUCUUGUAAAAGCCUCCCCGCCUCCUGAGCUCCCUCGGUCGCCUCCCGAGAAGCCAACGGGCCUCUCUGGUGGAGCGUUAGGUUGACAGCGUUUUAGCAGGACCGCGAGAAACCGGGGAGAUCCUCUUACGAGGAAAAACUCCAAGAUUACAUCCCUGUUAUCUUUCCUCCAAGAGCUGACUAAGGCUUUGGAACAGAAACCAGAUGAUGCACAUAUAUUAUCGUCAAAGAGCUUAUUGUCACAUUCUUCUUGGGAAUUACUGUGAGACGGGGUUUCACUGUGUUAGCCAGGCUGGUCUCGAUUUCUUGACCUCGUGAUCCACCUGCCUCGGCCUCCCAAAGUGCUGGGAUUACACGCGUGAGCCGCCAUGCCCAGCCAGAAACGCAUCUUUUUCUACAUAGUUGCUGUUGCUGAUGCAAAGAAGUCUCGCGAAUUCAAUCCAAAUAAUUCCACUGCUGUGCUGAGAAAAGGGAUAUGUGAAUACCAUUUAAAAAACUAUGCUGCUGCUCUAGAAACUUUUAUAGGAGGACAAAAAUUAGUGCAGAUGCUAAUUUCAGUGACUGGAUUAAAAGGUGUCAAGAAGCUCAGAAUGGCUCAGAAUCUGAGGUGAGUUUCGCUCUUGUUGCCCAGGCUGGAGUGCAGCG